UCUUGGUCAUUUAGAGGAAGUAAAAGUCGUAACAAGGUCUCCGUUGGUGAACCAGCGGAAGGGAUCAUUA
rnacentral:rRNA from 1 species